rnacentral:rRNA from 1 species
CCUACGGGAGGCAGCAGUGAGGAAUAUUGGUCAAUGGGCGGAAGCCUGAACCAGCCAAGUCGCGUGCAGGAUGACGGCCCUACGUGUUGUAAACUGCUUUUAUACGGGAAUAACGCGCCUUACGUGUAGGGCUUUGCAUGUACCGUAUGAAUAAGGACCGGCUAAUUCCGUGCCAGCAGCCGCGGUAAUACGGAAGGUCCGGGCGUUAUCCGGAUUUAUUGGGUUUAAAGGGAGCGUAGGCCGCAUGUCAAGCGUGCUGUGAAAUGUCCGGGCUCAACCCCGGCCUGGCAGCGCGAACUGGCGGGCUGGAGUCGGAGGAAAGCAGGCGGAAUGCGGGGUGUAGCGGUGAAAUGCUUAGAUAUGGCGCAGAACCCCGAUUGCGAAGGCAGCUUGCUGCAGCGGAACUGACGCUGAUGCUCGAAAGCGCGGGUAUCGAACAGGAUUAGAUACCCGAGUAGUC